rnacentral:rRNA from 1 species
GACGAACGCUGGCGGCGUGCUUAACACAUGCAAGUCGAACGGAAAGGUCCCCAUCUUGGUGGGGGUGCUCGAGCGGCGAACGGGUGAGUAACACGUGGGUGAUCUGCCUUUUACUUCGGGAUAAGCUUGGGAAACUGGGUCUAAUACCGGAUAGGACCAUGGUUUAGUUUCUCAUGGUGGAAAGAUUAUUGUUUUUGUGCAGGAUGGGCUCGCGGCCUAUGAGGUUGAUGGUAGGGUAAUGGCCUACCAAGGCGUGGACGGGUAGCCGGCCUGAGAGGGGGGACGGCGAAACUGGGACUGAGAUACGACCCAGACGCCAGCGAGAGGCAGCGGUGGGGAAUAAUGGGGAAUGAGCGCAAGCGUGAAGCAGCGACGGAGUGUGGGGGAUGACGGGCUUGGGGUUGUAAGCUACUAUCGAUAGAGAAGAAGCUACGUUUCUGGGGUGUGGUGACGGUAACUUUGUUAGGAAGCCCCGGCUAACUACGUG